rnacentral:rRNA from 1 species
CAGUGGGGAAUAUUGCACAAUGGGCGCAAGCCUGAUGCAGCAACGCCGCGUGGGGGAUGACGGCCUUCGGGUUGUAAACCUCUUUUAGUAGGGAAGAAGCCUUUCGGGGUGACGGUACCUGCAGAAAAAGCACCGGCUAACUACGUGCCAGCAGCCGCGGUAAUACGUAGGGUGCGAGCGUUGUCCGGAAUUAUUGGGCGUAAAGAGCUCGUAGGCGGUUUGUCGCGUCUGCUGUGAAAUCCCGGGGCUCAACCUCGGGUCUGCAGUGGGUACGGGCAGACUAGAGUGCGGUAGGGGAGAAUGGAACUCCUGGUGUAGCGGUGGAAUGCGCAGAUAUCAGGAAGAACACCGAUGGCGAAGGCAGUUCUCUGGGCCGUUACUGACGCUGAGGAGCGAAAGCGUGGGGAGCGAACAGGAUUAGA